rnacentral:misc_RNA from 1 species
GAUGAAGAACGCAGCGAAAUGCGAUAAGUAAUGUGAAUUGCAGAAUUCAGUGAAUCAUCGAAUCUUUGAACGCACAUUGCGCCCGCCAGUAUUCUGGCGGGCAUGCCUGUUCGAGCGUCAUUUCAACCCCUCAGGCCCCGCCUGGCGUUGGGGGCCUGCGCCCCGCAGCCCCCGAAAGACAGCGGCGGUCCCGCCCCGGUCCCGAGCGUAGUAGCACACGCCGCUCCGGGCGCCGGGCGGGCUCCGGCCGCAAGCCUCUCCACACAUCAGGUUGACCUCGGAUCAGGUAGGAAUACCCGCUGAACUUAAGCAUAUCAAUAAGCGGAGGA